UAUCUACAAUUCUUAAAAAGAGAGAAGUUCACAUCAAUUGCCAAUUAUGAACAGUAGAGUAUUGUGCUUUUUCCCUUCCUUUGUCCUUAUCCUCUUUUCUUCGGCUCCCAGCCGAACUUAUCUUCCUAUUUCUUCUAUCCUUCCUUUCUCUCUCUUCUUCUUUACUCAUUCUGAACUUCUUUUCUCUCUCUCUUCUUUUCUUGGCCAUCUCUAGAUCUUCGUCUCCCCAGAUUUAGCUAAACCUUUUUCUUUCUUUUUCUUUUUCGCAUUCAUGGCUGCCUAAUUCCACCAGUCACCGGUAAAUUCGAAACGAUGUCUUCAAUAUCUUCCGCGGAUGAUGAAGAAGAUGCAACAAUGGCGGAACAAGGUUCGAAUUUGGGUAAAGAGGAUGCGAAUUUGGCGGAUCAAGAUGUAAAAAUGGCGGGAAUCGAAGGCGAUGACAACGACGGAGUAGGAGUAGUCUACCUUGUUGGGUUUUUUUUUUUUGUUUUUGGGUCAGUGUUGCA